AGUGAACGCUGGCGGUAGGCCUAACACAUGCAAGUCGAACGGCAGCACAGUAAGAGCUUGCUCUUACGGGUGGCGAGUGGCGGACGGGUGAGGAAUACAUCGGAAUCUACUUUUUCGUGGGGGAUAACGUAGGGAAACUUACGCUAAUACCGCAUACGACCUACGGGUGAAAGCAGGGGAUCUUCGGACCUUGCGCGAUUGAAUGAGCCGAUGUCGGAUUAGCUAGUUGGCGGGGUAAAGGCCCACCAAGGCGACGAUCCGUAGCUGGUCUGAGAGGAUGAUCAGCCACACUGGAACUGAGACCCGGUCCAGACUCCUACGGGAGGCCGCAGUGGGGAAUAUUGGACAAUGGGCGCAAGCCUGAUCCAGCCCUACCGCGUGGGUGAAGAAGGCCUUCGGGUUGUAAAGCCCUUUUGUUGGGAAAGAAAAGCAGCAGGUUAAUACCCCGCUGUUCUGACGGUACCCAAAGAAUAAGCACCGGCUAACUUCGUG
rnacentral:rRNA from 1 species